CCGAGGGCUAGGUUUCCGCCUGAUGGGCAUUAGAGUCUAACAAUGCCCGUGGUGCAUACAAUACUUUAUGUUUUACCUAAAAAUUGAUUUUUAUGAACAAAAAUAAUUUUAAUAUUAAUUAAAAAAUAGGGUCUACCUGUACAGGUAGGUAUACGUACAUACCUACCUACAGAAAUUUAUCAAGUGACUUGCAGUGAUUAUUUAAGUUUGACUUUGAUGUUUCUGUCAGUUAGUCAGUUGGCAUUUUUUGUUUAAAUAUUUGCUUAAAAUGGAAGAAAUUCCACAAAAUAUAAGAGAAAAGGCCAUAAAAGCGACCGAAAAUCUUUUGCCAGUUAAAUCAAGGCAACAGUAUGAUCGGGAGUAUGGCAUAUUUGGUAUUUGGAAAGAUGCCAAUGCAAUUGUUCAAAUACCCGAAACCGUUCUAAUGGCAUAUUUUCAGGAACUGUCGGAAAAAUACAGUCCGAACUCUCUCUGGACCAAGUAUUCUACCCUAAGGUCUACGUUAAUGGUCUAUAAAAAUAUAGACAUCUCGCAAUACCAUCGUCUCAUAUCUUUUUUAAAAGUUAAGUCGAAAGGAUAUGUCCCGAAGAAGUCUAAAGUUUUGGAAGGAGAACAAAUAAUAAAAUUUAUUAAGAAGGCUCCUGAUGAUAUCUACUUGGUACACAAAGUCAUAUUGGUAAUGGGUGUUUUUAGAGGUUUAAGAUAAGAUGAGUUUGGUCAAAAUGACCAUUGAUGAUAUUGAAGUUAGAGGAACCAUCUUGGUUAUAAAGGUACCAGAAACUAAAACUUCAACUUCAAGUUUUACUAUCAUUGAAGAAGAUUUAGGCGCUUUAGAUUUAUUUAAAAAGUACGCAGCAUUAAGACCAGCUGGAAUAAAGAAGGGAAGAUUCUUUUUUACUAAUAGAAAGAGUCGCUGUACAGUACAACCUGUUGGAAAAAAUACCAUAGGAAGCGUCCCAACAUUGAUCGCAAAAUUUUUAAAACUAGAUAAUGCAGAAGCUUAUACCGGCCACUGUUUGCUUCGCACAUCGUCAACUUUACUUGUUGAGGCAGGUGCUUCGUUUGAAAUGCUAAAACAACAUGGGAAAUGGAAAAGCUCUUCAGUAGCUGAAGGAUAUAUAGAAGAAAGUAUUUCAUCCAAAAAUAAAGUAGCCAAAAUGAUUGCCAAUUCAGUUAAUUCCGAGGUUAAUUCCGUAUCGACUAUUGAAAAUUCUUUAAUGGACAAUUUACAAACUAUACAAAAUACCAUCACAAAAAACACCGACCAUUCUAUAGUGGGCUCAGCUACAUUUUCCGGGACAUUUCAAAAUUGUAAUUUUUAUUUUGGAAAUAAAGUUAAUUUUUUAGUA
rnacentral:lncRNA from 1 species